UUUAAUUUUUUUACUUGAUAAACAAGGAAUUAAAUAAAGAAUAAAUAUGGAAAAUAAGAAUUGAAAAAAUGUAAAGACGGCGCUGGAGUCGCUUGAAAGAGAAUAAAAGUAAGAAAGAAAAGAAAAAAACUAGUAGGAAAAGUCUUUAUGCUUUAUGGGUGUAUGGCUGUGUAAGGUGAUAGAUAGUGUGACGGGAAUGGAAAUGAUGGUCAGCAUCAGCUAAAGCACCAGUUAAAGCACAAGUGAGACUAUGAGACUGUGAGACUGUGAAGACUCUGUUAGACUGGUGACGACUGGUAAAACUGGUGAUACUCUAAAGGCGCAGGCGGGCGGUGAUUCAGUGAAAUAAUCCAUCAAUAUCUACGUCUACAUUUAUGUAUAUUGCAGUGAAAAAGUGAUAUUGAUAACUGAGAGAUUUCUUGCCAACUACUAAAAAGAACAAAAGUCAUCCAAUUGAUUCUACCAAACUAAAU